UAUACAUGCAGUCGAGCGAACAGAUAAGGAGCUUGCUCCUUUGACGUUAGCGGCGGACGGGUGAGUAACACGUGGGUAACCUACCUAUAAGACUGGGAUAACUGCGGGAAACCGGAGCUAAUACCGGAUAACAUUUGGAACCGCAUGGUUCUAAAGUGAAAGAUGGUUUUGCUAUCACUUAUAGAUGGACCCGCGCCGUAUUAGCUAGUUGGUAAGGUAACGGCUUACCAAGGCGACGAUACGUAGCCGACCUGAGAGGGUGAUCGGCCACACUGGAACUGAGACACGGUCCAGACUCCUACGGGAGGCAGCAGUAGGGAAUCUUCCGCAAUGGGCGAAAGCCUGACGGAGCAACGCCGCGUGAGUGAUGAAGGGUUUCGGCUCGUAAAACUCUGUUAUUAGGGAAGAACAAAUGUGUAAGUAACUGUGCACGUCUUGACGGUACCUAAUCAGAAAGCCACGGCUAACUACGUGCCAGCAGCCGCGGUAAU
rnacentral:rRNA from 1 species